rnacentral:rRNA from 1 species
UACGAAGGGGGCUAGCGUUGUUCGGAAUCACUGGGCGUAAAGCGCACGUAGGCGGUUGUGCCAGUCAGGGGUGAAAUCCUGGAGCUCAACUCCAGAACUGCCCUUGAUACUGGGAAUCUCGAGUCCGGGAGAGGUGAGUGGAACUCCGAGUGUAGAGGUGAAAUUCGUAGAUAUUCGGAAGAACACCAGUGGCGAAGGCGGCUCACUGGCCCGGUACUGACGCUGAGGUGCGAAAGCGUGGGGAGCAAACAGG